ACACCAUCGAGCUAAAGAAGAGAACUCGAAGGUUAGACCGCGCUUUCUCUGAAAGAAAUGCACAAGUGAUUGAGCUCUGAGUGAGCAGCCUCUUU